rnacentral:rRNA from 1 species
UAGGGAAUCUUCCGCAAUGGACGAAAGUCUGACGGAGCAACGCCGCGUGAGUGAUGAAGGUUUUCGGAUCGUAAAGCUCUGUUGUCAGAGAAGAACAGGUGUGAGAGGAAAUGUUCAUGCCAUGACGGUAUCUGACCAGAAAGCCACGGCUAACUACGUGCCAGCAGCCGCGGUAAUACGUAGGUGGCAAGCGUUGUCCGGAAUUAUUGGGCGUAAAGCGCGCGCAGGCGGCUUCUUAAGUCUGAUGUGAAAGCCCACGGCUCAACCGUGGAGGGUCAUUGGAAACUGGGAGACUUGAGUGCAGAAGAGGAAAGUGGAAUUCCAUGUGUAGCGGUGAAAUGCGUAGAGAUAUGGAGGAACACCAGUGGCGAAGGCGACUUUCUGGUCUGUAACUGACACUGAGGCGCGAAAGCGUGGGGAGCAAACA